AAUUUUAUAGUAAGAGGAAAAUCCGUCGAUUUCAAAAAUCAUGAGGGUUCAAGUCCCUCUAUCCCCA
rnacentral:tRNA from 2 species